UCAAAACCCACUAAACCUAACGAGUAUGCCUAUAAAUUUAUAGCCGAAUUAAUGUUAGAACUAGUAAUAAGAAAGCACAACUUUCUCUCCAGCACCAGUGUAAAUCAUCCCGAACUAAUCACUGAUAUUUAUCGAUCGUAUAAUUUAACCUAAACAAUCCCACCAGACAUUCAAUUUUUACACACCGUUAACCCAACACAGGAGUGCUACCAAGAAAGACAUAAGAGUAAAGAAGGAACUCGGCAAUCAUAAGCUUCGCCUGUUUACCAAAAACAUCACCUCUAGCAAAUCUAAACACGUAUUAGAGCACUGCCUGCCCAGUGAUUUUUAUUCAACGGCCGCGGUAUUCUGACCGUGNNAAGGUAGCAUAAUCACUUGUCUUUUAAAUAAAGACUAGUAUGAACGGCACCACGAAAGCCUAACUGUCUCCUUUACCCAGUCAAUGAAACUGAUCUUCACGUACAAAAGCGUGAAUACUAAAAUAAGACGAGAAGACCCUAUGGAACUUAAAACACGCAACCAAUUUAAUCUAAUGUAAUAGCAAUAAACACCUGGAUUAUACUGUUUUUGGUUGGGGCGACCACGGAGUAAAACACAACCUCCGAGAACACUACCUAGAUUAUACACGACACAGUACCAAAACUUUGAUUAUAAGACCCAAUAAAUUUGAUCAUCGAACCAAGCUACCCUAGGGAUAACAGCGCAAUCUUCUUCACGAGCCCUUAUCACCAAGAAGGUUUACGACCUCGAUGUUGGAUCAGGAUACCCAGACAGU
rnacentral:rRNA from 1 species